ensembl:misc_RNA 7SK 7SK RNA
UCCUUCCUGAAGCUGCACAAUCAGUUGAAAAGGCUAGAUGACCUCAGCUAAAGGAGGACCAGCCUCUGAUUAAGGGUACGAGUAGUUGUGCUCACCUACGAGACAAGUUCCAAGUAAGCUGUUAGGGAGUUUAUGCAACAGUUAGUGCAAC